AUAAAAGCCACUAUAUAUGAGUGUCAUUGGUUUCAGUAAUUUUUUAAUCUUUUUUAUUUCUUUUCUUUCUUUUAUUAUUAUGUUAUUUUAGUCACCACAC